CUCCCUCUGUGUUAUUAUUUUGGGUCGGGCCUGCCCGGUGAGACGCGUCUUAAACGGCCGCUGUAACUGGCGCUAAGGUAGCAAAAUCUAUAGCCCUUUAAUUGGGGGCGUGUGAAUGGUUUGACGUAUGGUUAGCUGUCUUGUUUUAAUUGCUUUAAAUUUAUUUCUAGGUGCAAAGGCUUAGAUUUGUUGGUCGGGCGAGAAGACCCUGAUGAGCUUUACCUAAGAAGGGGGAUAGUUCCUUUGAGGUUUGGUUGGGGCAACCUAGGAGUAAGAAGGAACCUCCUUUAUUUUAUAAUUACUAUAUGAUCCGCAUUGAGCGAUUUUAAGAUUUAGUUACCACAGGGAUAACAGCGUAAUCGUUUCUGAGAGUUCUUAUUGACGAAACGGGUUGCGACCUCGAUGUUGAAUUAGGGUAUCCUCGGGGUGCAGGGGCUUCGAAAGGUGGGUCUGUUCGACCUUUAAAACCCU
rnacentral:rRNA from 1 species